rnacentral:rRNA from 1 species
UGGUAGGGACGAUUAUUGGGCUUAAAGCGUCCGUAGCCGGCUUAGCAAGUCUCCUGUUAAAUUCAGCGACUCAAUCGUUGAGCCGCGGGGGAUACUACUAGGCUAGGAGGCGGGAGAGGUCGACGGUAUUCUCGGGGGAGGGGUGAAAUCCUAUAAUCCCGGGAGGACCACCAGUGGCGAAG